AGGGAUAUAGCUCAGUGGUAGAGUACAGCUUGGCAUGCAUGAGGUCCUGGGUUCAAUCCCCAGUACCUCCA
rnacentral:tRNA from 1 species